UACGGAGGGGGCUAGCGUUGUUCGGAAUUACUGGGCGUAAAGCGCACGUAGGCGGGCUGUUAAGUCGGGGGUGAAAUCCUGGGGCUCAACCUCAGAAUUGCCUCCGAUACUGGCAGUCUCGAGUGCGGGAGAGGUGAGUGGAAUUCCCAGUGUAGAGGUGAAAUUCGUAGAUAUUCGCAAGAACACCAGUGGCGAAGGCGGCUCACUGGCCCGGUACUGACGCUGAGGUGCGAAAGCGUGGGGAGCAAACAGG
rnacentral:rRNA from 1 species